AGAACAAGAAGCUUUAGUGACCAUUAGAGCCGGUGAAAUCAACACAAAAAAGUUGUUAUAGGUUGUUAUGAUUGGUGGAUGGAUAAGGUUCAGGAUCAGUCAUUGAUUGUGGGUGUGGGAUUAAAUUGUAUUCUUCAGGAGAGAGAAAAGAGAAUGAGUUGGUAAGAAAGAAACACAAAUAGAGAUUUUCCGGUGAGUGAAAACCUCGAGAGCUCUGUAUCCAUAGUGAGUUAAUGCCAGCAAUCAUUCACUUCUGUUCUUAGUGAAUUCCGAGGAUAUUCUCAGCCAGACGUAGGGUCGCAGUUAAGCAAACAGG
rnacentral:lncRNA from 1 species